UGUAUCAUCGUCAUCAUCAUUAGAUCUAUCAUAUUAUUUAUUGCGAAUUAAAAACCCAUUUCAAAUGUAUUGAAAAUUUGCAUGUUCGGUUGAGGCAAAUAAGUACAAAACCAAAAGCUUGUUGUUUUUUCGAACUUUGUAGCGGUACACUUUAACGUUAAUUAAAUGCGUAGGCAUUUGUCAGCACUCCGAGACAUAUAAACCGACUGUUUGCACUUGUGGGUUACAGAGUUAAACUUGUUUCUAUGAGUAUAUUAUCCAUGACUCGGCAGAAACCUGCGCAAUAUAAAUGGGCGUGGGUACGGCCGGCAAGUCAUUCGAAGCAAAUACAAGUAUUAAUAUUGUAAAGUCGUUUCUCACACCGUCCCAUCGCCAUGAAUUCUAAGUACGCGGUUUUGGUAUGUUUUUUGUUUUUGACGUUCGCUUUCAACGGCGUGAAUGCUUAUUGUAACCCGGAUGAUUGUUGGGCUCUAUGCCGUAGCCAGUAUGGUGGGCCACUCACAAAAACUCGAGGAGUAUGCGAAUCUUCCAACAAUGACUAUUGUCGGUGUUAUGGUAUACCCUUGGAUCCACUAAUCCUCAUGCCUGGGGAUCCCGAGCGAAUGCUCAAUUGAAAAAAGCUCAAGACAUCGUCUAAACAUCUUCUUCAGUUCAACGAGAAAACUUCAAAAAUAAUGUCAACAUUUCAAAACAUUGCAAAGUAGUAACUCUUUUGUAAUACUAUUUAUGUUAGCUUUUAUGUGUUAUUCAUUAAAGGCAACCAAAUAUUAUUAUGUGUAGAUAAUAAAUAAUGAUUUUCAUAAUAAACUUUAAAUUUUCCUGAAAA